GUGGCUCAGUGGUAGAGUACUUGCCUUGCAUGCAUGAGGCCCUGGGUUCAAUUCCUCAGC
rfam:Dipodomys ordii contig_64453, whole genome shotgun sequence.